AAGAGGGAACCCGGUGGAAAUCCGGGACUGCCCCGCAGCGGUGAGCGGGAACGACCGCCGUCAUACGCACUGGGUCCGGAAGCCGGACCCGGGAAGCGACGGCCAGUAGGUGCCUCGUACGUGCACGACGUCACGAGGUGGGCCCGCGAGUCCGAAGACCU
rnacentral:ncRNA from 2 species